AUCCACUAAAUCGAUGCGUCUUCUUUUCCACAGCAACCAUGCGCAACGGAACCGACGGCACCAUCAUCCAGCCAGGCCUGGUCGAGAACGAUUCCGGACUUGUGGCGCUAAUUGCCAUCGGCAUCGUUUCCCUGUUCGUGAUCGCCCUGUUCGGGGUCACCUACCUAAUCUACCGGCAUCACGUGCACCGGAACAGCACCUCGAUGAACUUCGACAAUCCGGUGUAUCGGAAGACGACCGAGGACCAGUUCAGCCUGGAGAAGAACCUGCCCAACCGCAUGUACCCGAGCACCGUCGGCGAAGAGCGGCACUACUAAACUCAACUAACCAUCAUAAAUCGACGAAACCCCAAUUUGAAAUAACAAAACAAAAUAUCAAUCGAAAGAGAGAGCAACAACGCUAGACUAAACGACAACUACAACAACAUCCGGUCUAGAUGCGCUGCUGCUGCUGUUGAGUCAGCAAUUUUGAGUUGAAACAACUCGAAAUCAAAACUGAAAAUUUAUCACAAAUCACCACCCAGUCUCACCAUGUAGUUGCACAGGCCCAGGAACCGCUCAACAGACCAGCCACCAACGAUUAUGUCUAGCUGGUCUAGUCAAGCCAGGUGGAAAAUCUUCCAAGUGAAAUCAAAAGUAUGAGAAAGAAGAAACACCUAAUCCAGCAGUAGAGGAGCGAAGUCUGUUCGACUGAUAAACAGACCAAACGUCGAGGAAAACGUGUAAAAUUAUUAAUAACGAAAAAAAAUCUAAGGGGCAGCAGCAGAAAACUGAAAACACAAAACCGUAAACAUGUUCCAUCCUUGUGACUACUUAACGGAGGAGAAAUUUGGACUACACGUGUAGAGUUUAUUAGAAAUGUGGUGUGGUUUUUCAAGCGUGUUUUUUUUACAAAAGAAAAGUUUAGUUUUUUUUAAGGGGUUAAUCCGCCCUUUUCCCAGCUUAAUCCCAAAAGUUGUAUGUUUGUUUUCAUAGAUGCUUAGAAGAGGCAGCUCCUCGUUUAUUGAUUCUGUUUAAUUUUUCUGGUUUAUGUUAGUUGAUCCAAAAUAGAGCCAAGAAGCUGUUAGCUUACAUACAGAUACACGUUGUACGUAAAAAUUAUGUAUACUUUUUGUAGCUUAGAAACAGGAGAAGAACGUGAAGAAAAAAAUUAUAUCGAGUGUGAUCAUUUGAGUGAAGAUUUCUGAGCAGCUUCUUAAAAGAUAUUUAAAUGAAUCCAAAACUAAUGUUUUGCACUUUAACGGUCAACCGGAAGAAUCGGCGAAAAAAGUUUAUUUUACAUAUUAAGGAAAAAGUCUUACGGUCAAACCGAAAAAAAUAUAUAUGAAUACGUUUAUUUUGUUAUUGUAAAAAUUGUAGCUGAAAUUACUCGGACUCUUUCUAGUUGUUUUUUGGAUAUAUAGUGAACGUUUAUCAGAAACCUCCUUACAAAUGAAUAUUUUUGCGUCCAUCCGAUCGUUACACGAGGCAACAAUUUAUUGCUUAAUCUUGUCAGCCUGAUGAAUAAACUUAAAUAAAUUUGUAAAAAACAAAACAAAUCGAUAGCAAAAUGUUUAAAUAUAGACUAACGAUGAUUUAUUAAAGGUGUAGAUAUUAUUUUAUCAAUAUUUUUAUAUUCAUUAUAUUACUAACUCUUGCAAGUCUUAAAAUGAGAUAAUCCAGAAGUAGAACAACAGUCUUAGCUGAUAACUUUAGUGGCAGCAAUACACAGUUAUAGUGAGUGGUUUUGUUUUUAUUUUGUACAACAUUCAGAUGGAUUUUUUGCAGAAGCAAAUCCUUCCCAAUCUUGAACGAAUACCUUCGAAUAUUUGCUCAUAAAAAGCAGCACAAAAAAUUUGCUCAAUUACAAAACACAAAAUUGUUCCAAAUACCAGCUAAGAGAAAAUCGCGGCGGUUCUUUUCAUUAGGGUAGCAUUCGUUGUAAUCGAUCCAACCUUGCCAAAUGUUGUAACUCGAAUCCUACAAAUUGCUCCAAAGUAACCAAAAUUCUUCCACCGACAAAACGAAAGUGAAAAAUUUUCUUCCAAAACCAAACGCAAAAACUAAAUUUACCCAUUCUGGAUGAUUUUUACAAAAAGCUGCCAAAUUUGAAGAACAACUCAAACAAAACAAUCAAUCUAUUAGCUUCCUCUGAUGAAAAAAAAAACAAAUUUAAAAGUGAGAUAGGUACAAACAUCAUGCCAAGAGCCAACUUUCGAUACACACAUGCUAAAAAUAAUUUUAUCCGCCUGCGUCGUCUUGAUAAUUAAUUCGACUUUCUCUUUCCCGAGCAAAUGGCAGCGAUAUCAUCGUCAUACAUUAAAAGUAAAACUGAACAAUUCGGAUCAUUUGCAAAUCAUCGACGGCUUCCUUCCAGUUCCCAGUCCGAUGUUAAAAAUCCAAACUCACAAAACAAAUAAGAAUUCACAACCCAACAAUUAAAUCGGAAAAUUUAUCACUAGAAAAUAGGAGAAGCAAAAAAAAAUAACUAAGACCCACAUGUAUCUACAUUUUGAUAACAACACAACCUAACAUUGUACAUAAGCUCGAAGUAAUCCUUCGGAGAAAUAGUAGGAGGGGAAUCGCAAAAAAAAGAAUAACAAACAAGAAUAAAGAUCGAUAAUUCAAACAAAAAAAAAAUUACUAAAUUCCUAAAACAAAAUCAGCUAAUAAUGAAGAGAAAAUGUAACAAACAUUUUCUUAAUGAGAACUAAUAAAAACAAGAGAAGAACUUUAGCAAUAGAGAAAGAAAAAUAAAACCAAUUCGAAUGAAAGAAGAAAAAAAACAAACAAAAAUAUCACAAAAAAAACAUAAAUUUCGGAGCAUUUCAGCUCUAUAAAUAGGAAAAGAAAAAGGAAAACAACGCGAUUCACAUGCGGAUGAAACAUUCAUACAUUGUAUUGUCUUACUUUUAGUUUGUUUUGUAUAUAUUGAAUGGCGAUUGCGUAUGAGCAAGACACUAAAUCAAACUGAAUACACACAAACAAACAGAAAUAAAAUCAGACAGAUGACGGAUAACAAUUUGCAACAAUGAUAGUAAUGAGAAGGAAACAAACAACUGGCAAACAGAACAAUGGAUGAUUGUGCAAUUUACAAUUUAAUUACAUACAGUUUAAACAAACAUACACAAACACACAGAAACAACACGCAACUUAGUUAUAUACAGAAACAACAAAAAAAAACACAAUAUAAUGUAAGCGUCAGGCGAUAACAGCAAAACAAAACAAAACAGAAAAAAAGGUUAAAGUAAAUUCAAGUAAAGAGAAAGAGUAAUGUAAUGUGAGA